GCGAAGAACCUUACCAACUCUUGACAUCCCCCUGACCGGCGCAGAGAUGUGCCUUCCCCUUCGGGGGCAGGGGUGACAGGUGGUGCAUGGUUGUCGUCAGCUCGUGUCGUGAGAUGUUGGGUUAAGUCCCGCAACGAGCGCAACCCUUGUCCUUAGUUGCCACCAUUCAGUUGGGCACUCUAAGGAGACUGCCGGUGACAAACCGGAGGAAGGUGGGGAUGACGUCAAAUCAUCAUGCCCCUUAUGAGUUGGGCUACACACGUGCUACAAUGGACGGUACAAAGGGCAGCGAAGCCGCGAGGUGGAGCCAAUCCCAGAAAGCCGUUCUCAGUUCGGAUUGCAGGCUGCAACUCGCCUGCAUGAAGUCGGAAUCGCUAGU
rnacentral:rRNA from 1 species